rnacentral:sRNA from 1 species
GACGACUCACCGGUGCUUCUCUUCCUGUGGCGGUUAGUCUAAAUGUUUCGAGCAUUUAAGACACUGCUAGAUUCCUUCCAUUAGCGGUAUUAACAUCAAAAAGUUUAAAGUCAAUGGCGACCAACCAGAGAAAACAAAUGUACAUGGUACAUGCCCAACAUUAUGAGAACCGCUGAUGUCACUUUUUUAUGCGUGCAAAUGUGAAUGAAGAUGGUCAUCACAGAGCUCUGGGUUAUCGGACACUAGGACUUAUUGGAGGAUAUUUCUGGACUUUGAAAAUCUUCAUUUA